rnacentral:lncRNA from 1 species
CGACAUUCCCUCCCGCGCGGUUGUUAUUGUUGCCAUCUAGGACUUUUCAUUUCAGGCUUAAUCUAAGCCAUCUAAUUCUGGUAUAUCCUAGCAUGUCAUUCUCAAAACCAUUUUUCAGAUCCAACAUACAUAAAAUUUACACUUGCUAACAGCUUUAAUGUAAAUAAUAGAAAUAUACAAAAUAUUAUAAUCAUCAACACAAUCUAAUAUAAAAUCACAACAAGUAAACCCUCGUUUACCAUUUUCAUUAUAAAUUAAGUUUCUC